rnacentral:rRNA from 1 species
AUGUGCAUGUCCAUGCGCCCGCGCCGGAUGAGCGCCGGGUCCAGCUUGUCCAGGUGGUUGGUGGUGAAAACGAUGAUGCGCUCGCCGCUGUGCGCCGACCACAGCCCGUCGAUGAAGUUGAGCAGGCCGGAGAGCGUCAGGAUGUUGUGCCUCUUGCCGCGCGACUUGUCGGCGCGGCUGCCGGUGAGGUCGAGGGAGCAGUCGAUGUCCUCGAUGACGAUGAUGGACUUGCCGGUGGUCUCGAUGAAGAGCUUGCGCAGGUCGCUGUUGCUCUCCAGGGUGGUGAGCUCGAUGUCGUAG